rnacentral:rRNA from 1 species
ACGAACGCUGGCGGCGUGCUUAACCCAUGCAAGUCGAACGGAAAGGCCCUGCUUUUGUGGGGUGCUCGAGUGGCGAACGGGUGAGUAACACGUGAGUAACCUGCCCUUGACUUUGGGAUAACUUCAGGAAACUGGGGCUAAUACCGGAUAGGAGCUCCUGCUGCAUGGUGGGGGUUGGAAAGUUUCGGCGGUUGGGGAUGGACUCGCGGCUUAUCAGCUUGUUGGUGGGGUAGUGGCUUACCAAGGCUUUGACGGGUAGCCGGCCUGAGAGGGUGACCGGCCACAUUGGGACUGAGAUACGGCCCAGACUCCUACGGGAGGCAGCAGUGGGGAAUAUUGCACAAUGGGCGGAAGCCUGAUGCAGCAACGCCGCGUGCGGGAUGACGGCCUUCGGGUUGUAAACCGCUUUCGCCUGUGACGAAGCGUGAGUGACGGUAAUGGGUGAAGAAGCACCGGCUAACUACGUG